rnacentral:rRNA from 1 species
UGUGGAAACGUUCCUACCCGUGGAGGUUUUAACCUUGCUCCUUGGGUGACGAGUGGCGGACGGGUGAGUAAUGUCUGGGAAACUGCCCGAUGGAGGGGGAUAACUACUGGAAACGGUAGCUAAUACCGCAUAACGUCGCAAGACCAAAGAGGGGGACCUUCGGGCCUCUUGCCAUCGGAUGUGCCCAGAUGGGAUUAGCUAGUAGGUGGGGUAACGGCUCACCUAGGCGACGAUCCCUAGCUGGUCUGAGAGGAUGACCAGCCACACUGGAACUGAGACACGGUCCAGACUCCUACGGGAGGCAGCAGUGGGGAAUAUUGCACAAUGGGCGCAAGCCUGAUGCAGCCAUGCCGCGUGUAUGAAGAAGGCCUUCGGGUUGUAAAGUACUUUCAGCGAGGAGGAAGGUGUUGUGGUUAAUAACCGCAGCAAUUGACGUUACUCGCAGAAGAAGCACCGGCUAACUCCGUGCCAGCAGCCGCGGUAAUACGGAGGGUGCAAGCGUUAAUCGGAAUUACUGGGCGUAAAGCGCACGCGCGGUCUGUCAAGUCGGAUGUGAAAUCCCCGGCUCACCUGGGACUGCAUCCAAACUGGAGGCUAAGUCUUGAGAGGGGGGUAAAUUUCGGUGA